AGGUCAAGUGAAGAAGGGCGCACGGUGAAUGCCUUGGCACUGGAAGCCGAUGAAGGACGCGACUAACCGCGAAAGUCUUCGGGGAGCCGUAAGUAGGCUUUGAUCCGGAGGUCUCCGAAUGGGGGAACCCAGCAUGUGCAGACAUGCUAUCCUUAAGUGAAUACAUAGCUUAAGGAGGGAACACGCAGUGAACUGAAACAUCUAAGUAGCUGCAGGAAGAGAAAGAAAUAUCGAUUUCCCAAGUAGCGGCGAGCGAACAGGAAAGAGCCCAAACCGGCAGAUUUAUCUGCCGGGGUUGUAGGACUGAGACAUGGCACUUCAGAGGAUAGCAGAAGCGUUUGGGAAAGCGCGCCAGAGAGGGUGAGAGCCCCGUAAGCGAAAUCCAAAGAAGGCCUAUCAGUAUCCUGAGUAGGGCGGGACACGUGAAAUCCCGUUUGAAUCCGCGAGGACCAUCUCGCAAGGCUAAAUACUAACCAGUGACCGAUAGUGAACCAGUACCGUGAGGGAAAGGUGAAAAGAACCCCGGGAGGGGAGUGAAAGAGAACCUGAAACCGUGUGCCUACAAGUAGUCAGAGCCCGUUAACGGGUAAUGGCGUGCCUUUUGUAGAAUGAACCGGCGAGUUGCGUUAGUCAGCAAGGUUAAGUCAGAAAAGACGGAGCCGUAGCGAAAGCGAGUCUGAAGAGGGCGAGCAGUUGGCUGACGCAGACCCGAAACCAAGUGACCUACCCAUGACCAGGUUGAAGGCGCGGUAAAACGCGCUGGAGGACCGAACCCACGUAAGUUGAAAAUUGCGGGGAUGAGUUGUGGGUAGCGGUGAAAUUCCAAACGAACUUGGAGAUAGCUGGUUCUCUCCGAAAUAGCUUUAGGGCUAGCCUCGCAAAGAGGAUGCUGGAGGUAGAGCUCUGUUUGGACUAGGGGCCCGUCAAGGGUUACUGAAUUCAGAUAAACUGCGAAUUCCAGACAUUUAUGUGCGGGAGUCAGACUGCGAGUGAUAAGAUCCGUAGUCGAAAGGGAAACAGCCCAGAUCACCAGUUAAGGUCCCAAAAUUCAUGCUAAGUGGAAAAGGAUGUGGAGUUGCGCAGACAACUAGGACGUUGGCUCAGAAGCAGCCAUCAUUCAAAGAGUGCGUAAUAGCUCACUAGUCGAGUGACGCCGCGCCGAAAAUUUACCGGGGCUAAGCAUGAUACCGAAACUGUGGAUGUGCGUUUAUGCACGUGGUAGGAGAGCGUUCUAGCGGCGGUGAAGCAUGACCGAGAGGACAUGUGGAGCUUCUAGAAGUGAGAAUGCCGGUAUGAGUAACGAAAGACAGGUGAGAAUCCUGUCCGCCGCAAGACUAAGGUUUCCUGGGGCAGGCUCGUCCGCCCAGGGUAAGUCGGGACCUAAGGCGAGGCCGAGAGGCGUAGUCGAUGGACAACAGGUUGAAAUUCCUGUACUGCACCGAAUCGUUAUGAGCGAUGGAGGGACGCAGGAGGCUAGCAGCGCGUGGUGCUGGAUACCACGUUCAAGCGUCAAGUCUGAGAGUGAGUCAAAUGCUUGCUCUCAUAAGGACAAGGCGUGAUGAGGAGCGAAAUUAAAGUAGCGAAGG
rnacentral:rRNA from 1 species